rnacentral:misc_RNA from 1 species
GGCAAAAUUGGCACCCAUAAGUAGCUUCUUUCCAGUGAGCUUUGGACUCAAGUAUGGCAAUAGGAACUCCGUGCCAAGUGCUUGACUGAUAAAAUCAGGGAUGCUAAGCCCAUUAGAGAAUCGGCCAGUUGGUUGAUGAGUCGGAAAAUCAAUGCCAUAAGGUGGAGAGUCUGCCCGUGCAGUGGUGAGUAGGUAAUUGUUGUUGCC